AUCCUCAACACAUGUUCCACAUCCUCCAGGCACAGCACAGCACAGCACAGCACAGCACAGCACAGCACAGAGAUGUAGCUGAGAAUUAGAGAGGGAGAGAGCAGUGAAGUGGAAAUAUGAGUGAGCAUCAGAGAAGGAUAGAAAUAGAGCAAGCAAUAAAGCAGUGAAUUAGGGAGUGGGAGGAGGAGGAAGAGGAGAAAUAGAGGCAGGCUCUGGGUGAGUCUGUGACGCUUCGUGCUGACGAGGUUUGCGCACUCGUAGAGCUCUCGUCCUCUGUGCUGAUCUCACAGCCGGGAUAUGGAUACGACGUCAGUCUGAAUCUCUGUGGAAUUUAUCACAUCUGGUAGCAGAGAAUCUGCGGAUGAAGGAUGCUUCUGUGUGUGGAUGUGAGGAUCGCUGAGGGCCUGUGACGUCUGCACCUCACCACGUUUACCUUCACCACUCACAUGAGGAUGGCUUCAGCAUCACGGAUGACCCAGAUAGUGGUGGCGUAGCUCUUUGCUGUGUUCUACUCCUUAGGUGGUCAGCUAAUGUGAUGUGAAUGAUCAGAGGUGAACACUCAGCUCACCACUCGCCUCUGCUGACAUCUGUCUCCGUGGAAACGCUCAGCCACUGGCAGGCAUGGAGGAGACGGUGCGAACAUUAUUACAGAACCAGGAAUCACUGGAUGGCCCCAAAGUGGACCCACUGGACCUCAUGAAAGCAUACAAGGACAAACUUCUGGAGGAAAUGUGGAAGCAGCAGGACAGUCUGGAGGGUCCACCCGCCUCAGCAGAUCAACCUCCUUCUUCUGAGGCCAGCGGUGGAUCUGAGGAAAGUUCUAAGGACAGUAAUCCACUCCUGGAGCGACUCCAAGCACUGGAGGUAAAUUAGGUCAUCUGUAUCUUUUAUUAUUCCAUAAUCCUUCACCCCUCUGCAUGCUCUUUCUCCUAUCCUGGAUUGUCUGACCUACCUAUGUAGAU
rnacentral:lncRNA from 1 species